CCACACGAGUUGCCAACAUCAUUUGUUGCUUCACUCCGUUCUGGACUCUUACAGAACAAAUACAGUUUAACGUGAUAACCUACAGUUUUACAGGAUAUAAGGGGUUUCUGUUACAUUAAACUAAAGCUGUGGUCCUGCACUUGGUGAACAAGAUCUAGUGAACUGUUAAGAAGAUGCGGUUCUCCAGCUGAUCUGACAGAAAUGAACCAGGAUCCUGAGGAGCAGAGUCCUGCUGCAGACAGCCGAACGCUGGCUUGCACGAAAUCAUGUUCAGAAACGAUUCAGAGAAAACUCAACUGGUCACGGAGAAAGGCACCAUGUAUAGCAUCACCAUGGAAAGGUAAAGUAUCCCGUUUAGUUAUUGUGUAUUUAAAGUGUCAGGCUGUUGUUUUCAAUGUUGUCAUUUACAUUUAUGAUAUCUGAAAACAACUUGAGCAACUUGAUGAUGAGUUGAUGUUUCUUUCACUUGAACCAUAUCCACAUGAAUAGGACGAUAUUAUUAUUUUAUUGUGCUAAUGAACGAUUAGUCCUAGUUAUCACAUUUCAUAAGCAGUCACAUUUAUUUUGACAGUUAUGUUUUAAUAAUGUUUUAUAUACAGCAGACAGCCAUGAGUUCACCUUUUUAGGCGUUCUCUGUACUCAAACUCAGCCUGGGCUCCUGCUAGGCUGGCUGAUUUAUAGUCUAUAAACUUUUACACACGGUUCUAGUUCUGUGCUAGCUUUAGGAAUGAACAAAAUUGGAGGGUCAAGAACACGAGAAUCCCCCUCUCUUGAAACUUGUGACGUUGGAAAAUAAAGUUUGGCUGAUGUCAAUGCUGAACGAGGAGGGUGUUGAGCGCCCAUGGUGAGUUUCGUUGACAUAUUAUUUGAAUUGCCAUUGUUCAUUUAUUGAAUAAAACGCAGUUUUUUAAAUGAUCUAAGAUAGCCUAUUACCCUUGCCCCAGUCAUGCGUAAAACACUUUUUGCGCACGGGUUCCAAUUUUAGGUUUGCAAUUGCUCUGCAGUAAGUAUGACAGGAGUUCAGCAGUCAGUUCACGCUCCUUCUGCGAUGUUAAACUUAAUUUAGGGCUAAUUGUCAUGCUUAGAGCGCACGGUAUCUUUAGUUAUUUAAUAGCAUCCACACCAAAUCUGGCGUAAUCACUCCCACAGUGUUGAUUAUUGAAGAAUAUAAUUUAUAAAUGCCUAAUGAGCUUAGUUCAACUGUCAUACCCCCAUCAUAAUCCAAAAUAUAAGCUUGUUUUACUCCAAUGUUUGCAAACAUAGUAAAUGUAAACACACACUACAUAGCCUCAAAUCAUGGUUAAAGCUAUAAUUUUGAUAUCAUUGAUGGUCAGUCCUGAAUUUGAGAGUGUUUACAUUUCUCCAGCCUCAACCCUCAGCUUUUUACCAUAUCAGGGGUGAGGAAGAAGCUUUUUAAAAAAUUGUUUCUACUGCUGAUUGCUAAAGUAACUUUGAAAAGGUAGUUCACCACAUCCAAACUAAUUUGUGAUAAAUGAUCAUAUCUAAAUCUGAAAUGUCAUAGUCUAAAAUUGGCAAAACAGAUUAAUCGGAAGUCAGAUGUUAACAGAAUGUGUAAUUUGGCCUAUUAAACACAAAAACGAUGUUUCAAGUGAACAUUGGGCAGGUCUGUUGCCCCCCAAAAAAGGAAAUUCUUACCUACUUCACACAUUUUUUUUGCACAUUUUGGCAAAAAAAAAAACUAGUGUNNNNNNNNNNUGGUCACAAGGCUUCAAAUACUAACACUGCUUGCAUAGUCACUCAAACAAUGAUGCGUGGAACUUACCCUCUUUUGUGAGAGGAUAUCUAUUUAGAUGAUGAUAACGCUGAAAACAUAUAGUUUACAUUAGUCCAUUUAAAAAUAUAGAUAUUUUUGAGUGCAUUUAUAUUUUGUCUUCUGUUUUAAUUUCUCCGUCUAAAUAUAUUGGCUGGGGGUUAAUAGUGUAACUAGUUUUAUUUGUUUACUGUCAUCCCUGAAGCACGAAAUCAUGUUCAGAAACGAUUCAGAGAAAACUCAACUGGUCACGGAGAAAGGCACCAUGUAUAGCAUCACCAUGGAAAGGUAAAGUAUNNNNNNNNNNUUAUUGUGUAUUUAAAGUGUCAGGCUGUUGUUUUCAAUGUUGUCAUUUACAUUUAUGAUAUCUGAAAACAACUUGAGCAACUUGAUGAUGAGUUGAUGUUUCUUUCACUUGAACCAUAUCCACAUGAAUAGGACGAUAUUAUUAUUUUAUUGUGCUAAUGAACGAUUAGUCCUAGUUAUCACAUUUCAUAAGCAGUCACAUUUAUUUUGACAGUUAUGUUUUAAUAAUGUUUUAUAUACAGCAGACAGCCAUGAGUUCAC
rnacentral:lncRNA from 13 species